rnacentral:rRNA from 1 species
GACGUAGGUGGCGAACGUUAUCCGGAAUUAUUGGGCGUAAAGGGUGCGUAGGUGGCCUGACAAGUUAUCAGUGGCAAAUCGAGGCUCAACUUCGUGGAAACUGGUAAUACUGUUCGGCUUGAGUACAGGAGAGGUUAACGGAACUCUAUGUGGAGCGGUAAAAUGCACAGAUAUAUAGAAGAACAUCAACAAAGGCGAAGGCAGUUAACUAUUCUGUUACUGACGCUGAGGCACGAAAGCGUGGGGAGCAAAACGG